rnacentral:rRNA from 1 species
CACGUAGGGUGCGAGCGUUGUCCGGAAUUAUUGGGCGUAAAGAGCUCGUAGGCGGUGUGUCGCGUCGGCCGUGAAAACCUGCAGCUUAACUGUGGGCGUGCGGUCGAUACGGGCAUCACUGGAGUUCGGCAGGGGAGACUGGAACUCCUGGUGUAGCGGUGAAAUGCGCAGAUAUCAGGAGGAACACCGGUGGCGAAGGCGGGUCUCUGGGCCGAUACUGACGCUGAGGAGCGAAAGCGUGGGGAGCAAACAGG